GGUAGGUAGGUCGCGUCGCCUUGGGGGUAGCUCAUCGCACCGGGGCUGCAGGCUGCGCCACGCCAUGCCGGAAACCGCUCGCCGCGCGGGGCCUAGCUUUGUCCCUGCUGAGCAAGAGUGUGUGGUUGCCAAAUGGGUAAAUCUUGUUUAGCAUGGCUCUAAAUAGUUCUAGACCCUUGCUACAAUGUGCGGAUGAUGAGCCAGCAGAGUCUUCUAUUUUAUUUAAGAAAAAGCUUAGCAUGCAGUAACAGGCCAGCUAAAGGAUGGAUCUCUCCGAUCCAAUCCAUGCAUGGAUGGACAAGGUCACGAGAUAAUGGAAGGCUCAACAGGAGUGUGUACUACUGCUACAUGGGCUAAUAGAUACUUCUACAAUCGCCGGCGCAGUUAUAGUUGUUAUAAGCAUCGUGUAAAUCGAGCUCUUGUACUGUGUAGGGGUGGCGUGGUGUUCACUUAAUUGGGAAACCGUGCAAAAAUUGGCGCUCCUUGCGCCUUAAAACUUUGUAAUUGCUCUCCUCUCAUUAUCAAUGAAAGCUGGUAAUGGAACUUUCAAAAAA